UAUAGCCUGCUCCUAUCCCUUAAACAUUCUGAUAUUGGUCCUUUUAAGGUGACUAUUCUACAGACUAUAUUGAACUUUGCAGUAAAGAUAGUGGCGUUACCGAAAAUCAAUGAAAGACUGGCCAAUGGAGUUCCACUACCCAGAGUGGAUCACUUAAGCUUUGUAAAUCCUCUUAUUAAGGUGAACCAGGAUGUUUUGGUGAUUGCAACUGACAUCCGUUAUGGGUCCUAACCAGCUGUUGUUUACAACAAACACCAUGAUGGAAACCAGACCAGACCUGGAACAAUUCAACCAUUUCUUAUGCUGAGAAUUGCUUACACCUGGCCUUAGAUUAAAGUUUUGUGCAUUUUCUGUCAAAACAACUUUAAUUUCUAAUUCUAUGCUUUUCAUCAAACAAGACACUCAAUGAAAAAGAAAGCAACAAGUAAAAGUCAUUCCAGUCACUGUUGCUUUGUCAUCAAAUAAGAGACAAAACAAAGCCACAAUUUUUUAUACAUUCAUGGCGUGUAGACAUCGCUGGCUAGUCCAGCAUUUAUUGCCCAUUCGAAUUGCCCAUGAGAAGAUGCUGGACAGCCACCUUCUUGAACAGAUGCAGUAAUUGCAGGAGUAGGGGUCCCGUACUUUGCAGGGUAAAUGAACUGUUUCCAAACAGCAUUUACUCUCCCUAUUAGUCAAUAUGUGGCUGAUUUACUGAGUGUAUUUGUGAAGUUGUUGCUGUUUCCUGUGUGGCUCCCUGUUAUUUCUGGUUUCUCUUUUAAAUCAAAUACAGUCUGUGGCAAAUAUA